GGAGGGGUGCAAGCGUUGUUCGGAAUUAUUGGGCGUAAAGAGCGUGUAGGGCGGUUCGGUAAGUCAGAUGUGAAAGCCCUGGGCUCAACCCAGGAAGUGCAUUUGAAACUACCAGACUUGAGUACGGGAGAGGAGGGGGAAUUCCCGGUGUAGAGGUGAAAUUCGUAGAUAUCGGGAGGAAUACCAGCGGCGAAGGCGCCCCUCUGGACCGAUACUGACGCUGAGACGCGAAAGCGUGGGGAGCAAACAGGAUUAGAUACCCUGGUAGUCCACGCCGUAAACGAUGAGCACUAGGUGUAGCGGGUAUUGACCCCUGCUGUGCCGUAGCUAACGCAUUAAGUGCUCCGCCUGGGGACUACGGUCGCAAGACUA
rnacentral:rRNA from 1 species